AUUGAACGCUGGCGGAAUGCUUUACACAUGCAAGUCGAACGGCAGCACGGACUUCGGUCUGGUGGCGAGUGGCGAACGGGUGAGUAAUACAUCGGAACGUACCCUGUUGUGGGGGAUAACUAGUCGAAAGAUUAGCUAAUACCGCAUACGACCUGAGGGUGAAAGUGGGGGACCGAAAGGCCUCACGCAGCAGGAGCGGCCGAUGUCUGACUAAAUAUUUGGUGGGGUAAAGGCCACCCAAGGCGACGAUCAGUAGCUGGUCUGAGAGGACGAUCAGCCACACUGGGACUGAGCCACGGCCCAGACUCCUACGGGAGGCAGCAGUGGGGAAUUUUGGACAAUGGGGGCAACCCUGAUCCAGAAUGCCGCGUGUGUGAAGAAGGCCUUCGGGUUGUAAAGCACUUUUGUCCGGAAAGAAAUCGCGCUGGUUAAUACCUGGCGUGGAUGACGGUACCGGAAGAAUAAGCACCGGCUAACUACGUGCCAGCAGCCGCCGUAA
rnacentral:rRNA from 1 species